rnacentral:lncRNA from 1 species
GAGCCCAUGGCCAGUAUGUCCCCCUUUUUCUUCAACCAUGUCGAAGUUUUUUGAAGAUGUUUUCUUUACUUUCACUUAGUGAGAUCUUAUCAUCAACUUUUGCAAAAGCAGAUGCAAUUCUUACAAGCCUUCUCAAGCAUGUCCAAAUCAACACGUUUUGGGUUUAACAAUGAUAUAAAGCUACCUCGGCAACAAAAGAGUUUGAUCAGACUUAAAGAAAAGUAGAAAUCAUGCUGUGUUGGAUGAUCAUAACUCUGCUGUCUUCAAUGCAAAAUAUUGUACAAAUUUAUUAUGAACUCGAUCUUCAUUAAUUAAUUUGAUUAACAAUGUUUAGGUCAGCCUAUCAAGAAACAAACAUGGGUCAGCCUGCAUCAAUCAUGCACCUGUGGUGCUUCCCAGAACAAGGAAAAAUGAUGCCAUGACAAGACACCUGAGAGGAGAGUGGUAAUUUAUGAUAUUCCACUCAUUUUAGCUGCUGUUGCGAGUUAUUUCCAGCUCUGGACAUUGCCAAUUAUUCCUCAUUUCUUUCUUAAGAAAAAAAAUGAAAGGUUAAAUGUCAUAACUUGUAGCGUGUAGAUUUUUUAUUUUUUUUUACGUUUGCAAUACCAUGAUUCACAAGCUGCCUCUUUUGUUUAUUUUAAAGGAACAAUUGGAUGGUUUUGGGGGGUUUGCUCAUCAGCUGUAUCUAAAAUUGCCAAUUAAACGUCACUGUUAGGGUUCAUUUUCUAUGUGUAGUUGUGUACUUGAAAUAACUGCAAGGCAGUAAUAUUUGUACACUACCGGCAAUUGAUUUCAGACCAAGAAUUUGAGGCUGAUGAAGGCCCACACACCGACAGCGGUCGGCUACGCUGCAGCUCUGUCACUUCUGGGUUAUAUCGGCCACUCAAGCAUGCGAGUCAUGUAGAAAACCCUCUAGGAUAUGGUUCUCGGUCGAUUCCUGCCGACCAUAUAUACCAUUGCUAGAUGACCAGCUAGCAUUGCUGAUCUAGAGAUGUUAGCUGUUUAGGAGCUGGUCUUUUUUUUGUCAUAUUUUGUGAUCUGUAAAUAAACUCGCACGACAUAGCGGCCACCGGCCAUUGAUUCAAGACCAUAAUUUUUUUGAGGUGAAGGGAUCACCUUGGUCCAUGGACGACCACUCUUCAGCAACUCUAAAUCUUUAUUCACCUGAAAUGAUUCAGUACCCUGAUCAGAACUCUGGAGAGACAAACGGAGAAGGAGAGAGCCAUGGUGAACUUGGCCACAUUACAGUCACAGUGGAAGGCUAGUGUUAUCUGUCAGGGGAGAAUGUUUUCCGUGGGAAAAUUGAUUGCCAAUUUUUUAGUACUUAGUCAUCGCAUGCUCAAAUCCUUAACUCUAAAGAA